rnacentral:rRNA from 1 species
GACUAAAUAUAGCCCAAAAAUACACCCACAUAACUAAUUUAAUACUAUUAAAAUAAAACAUUUAUUAUAAGUCAAAGUAUAGGUGAUAGAAAUGAUACAUGGCGCUAUAGAGAUAGUACCGCAAGGGAAAAAUGAAAGAAAACUUAAAGUGAAAAACAGCAAAGAUUUACCCUUGUACCUUUUGCAUAAUGAUUUAAUCAGAAAAUUUUUAGCAAAAAGAAUUAAAGUUUAAUACCCCGAAACCAGACGAGCUACCCACUGGCAGCCUAAAGAGCGAACUCAUCUAUGUGGCAAAAUAGUGAAACGACCAUUGGGUAGAGGCAACAAACCUAUUCGAGCCUGGUGAUAGCUGGUUGUCCAGAAAAGAAUUUUAGUUCUAACAUAAACCUGCCAGAAAAAUAUACAAAUUAGAAUGUAGGUUUAAGUAUUAAUUUAAAAGGGUACAGCCUUUUAGAUGCGGGAUACAACCCCUAUUAGAGAGUAAUAAAAAUAAACCACAAUAGUUGGCCUAAAAGCAGCCACCAAAAAAGAUAGCGUUCAAGCUCAACAGCACACAAAUUUAAUUCUAAUUACCACAAUUAAUUCUCCUAAUAUAAAAACUGGACUAUUCUAUUAUUAAAUAGAAGUAAUAAUGUUAAUAUGAGUAACAAGAAAUAUUUCUCCUGGCACAUGUGUAUAUCAGACCGAAUAAAUCACUGAUAGUUAUCAAAAUAAAUAAAAUCAAACAACUAAAACCUCAACACCAAUUGUUAACCCAACACAGGAGUGCAACUAGGAAAGAUUAAAAAAAGCAAAAGGAACUCGGCAAACACGAACCCCGCCUGUUUACCAAAAACAUCACCUCUAGCAUAAAAAAUAUUAGAGGCACCGCCUGCCCAGUGACUUCAGUUUAACGGCCGCGGUACCCUGACCGUGCAAAGGUAGCAUAAUCAUUUGUUCUCUAAAUAAGGACUUGUAUGAAUGGCCCCACGAGGGUUCCACUGUCUCCUGCUUUAGAUCAGUGAAAUUGAUCCUCCCGUGAAGAAGCGGGAAUAAGACAAUUAGACGAGAAGACCCUAUGGAGCUUUAAUUAAUUAACCCACAAAUUACUCUACCCUUUACAAAUAAUAAUCCUAAUUUAGAUGAGUUAAUAAUUUAGGUUGGGGUGACCUCGGAAUAAAACACAACUCCCGAGAAAAAAUACCAAGACCAACAAGUCAAAGUCACAUUACAAUAUAAUGAUCCGUCACUGGCGAUCAACGAAAUAAGUUACCCUAGGGAUAACAGCGCAAUCCUAUUUAAGAGUUCAUAUCGACAAUUAGGGUUUACGACCUCGAUGUUGGAUCAGGACAUCCCAAUGGUGUAGCAGCUAUUAAUGAGUUCGUUUGUUCAACGAUUAAAGUCCUACGUGAUCUGAGUUCAGACCGGAGUAAUCCAGGUCGGUUUCUAUCUAUUAACAAGUCCCUCCCAGUACGAAAGGAUAAGAGAGACAGGGCCUACCUUAAAUAAGAGCCUUAAAUAAAAAGGAUGAACUAAUCUUAAUCCUAUUUUACCUAUAACCACCCUAGAAAAAGGGUUU